UUGUGCCAGCAGCCGCGGUAAUUCCAGCUCCAAUAGCGUAUAUUAAAGUUGUUGCGGUUAAAAAGCCCGUAGUUGGAUCUCGGCAAGUAGAGGGCGGUAUGCUUCGUAGCAUUACUGCCCUAUUACUUGUAGUUUUGCCAGAGGUUCCUGGGUGCUCUUAAUCGAGUGUCUAGGGAUGCUGGCAGGUUUACUUUGAAAAAAUUAGAGUGCUCAAAGCAGGCUAUUACGCUUGAAUAUUCGUGCAUGGAAUAAUAGAAUAGGAAGUUGUUUCUAUUUUGUUGGUUUUCGGAAAUCGACUUAAUGAUUAAUAGGGACAGUCGGGGGCAUUUGUAUUCAAACGACAGAGGUGAAAUUCUUGGACCGUUUGAAGACAAACUACUGCGAAAGCAUUUGCCAAGAAUGUUUUCAUUAAUCAAGAACGAAAGUUAGAGGUUCGAAGGCGAUUAGAUACCGCCCUAGUUCUAACCAUAAACGAUGCCAGCUAGCGAUCUGAGGACGUUUUUUUUGUAGACUCCUCAGGAAGCUUCCGGGAAACCAAAGCGUGGGGGUUCCGGGGGAAGUAUGGUUGCAAAGCUGAAACUUAAAGGAAUUGACGGAAGGGCACCACCAGGAGUGGAGCCUGCGGCUUAAUUUGACUCAACACGGGAAAUCUCACCAGGCCCGGACACUGGAAGGAUUGACAGAUUGAGAGCUCUUUCUCGAUUCGGUGGGUGGUGGUGCAUGGCCGUUCUUAGUUGGUGGAGUGAUUUGUCUGGUUAAUUCCGAUAACGAACGAGACUCUGUCCUGCUAAAUAGUGUCAGCCUCUCUUCUGGGCUGACAAUUCUUCUUAGAGGGACUGGCGGCUCCUAGCCGCACGAGAUAGAGCAAUAACAGGUCUGUGAUGCCCAAGG
rnacentral:rRNA from 1 species